CACUCGGACAAGUUCUACGGCAAUCUUUUAUUACGAUGGUUCGUUAAAGCUACUAUGCCAAUGAAGUUUGUAUAUCAAUAACAAUAUUGGUUCUUUCACAAGUGCACGUAUUUCCUCGGAGCUCAAUCAAGUAGACAACGCACGGUUCAUAGAAUUACCAAAAGAAAACGAUAGUUUAACUUUGCCUGCUCCCUAUAAUCCGUUUGUCGGUCCAAAAACAUCUAAAGAACUCAAUAUUAAUUCGACGUUUUUAACAAACGACACAAGUUUAGAAGCAGGUA